GGCGAAGGAUGAUAGACCAGGCCCUGUUCCCGGUUGGCCGGCACGCGCUCCUGUGGGCGCCGGCGGGCCGACCGUCCAGGUGCUCAAGACGCCUGAAGAUGCGGCAGUAAGGCAGGCCUCGGAGAUGCAGGCCGAGAAGUUCGACCAGAUUCUGCACAGCGGUUUCAGCAGUUUGGUCUUC
rnacentral:ribozyme from 1 species